GAUUCAUCAAGUUCUAAAAACUACUCUUAAUCAAGUUCUGUUUGAUUCUCCUUCUUCUCCUUGAAUCGUUCUUUCUACUCCUCUUCGCUUCACUUUAAAGCUUUGCUAUCAAGUUCUUGACAGUGGAUUUCAAUGUAUACUCUCUACGACUGUUGUAUUCUUCUCUCUGGUGCGUGUUCUGUAAAUGGAAAGGAAGAAAGAGUAAGGUUCUAUGUCUUCUUGUUGAACUCAGUGAUGCAGAAAAUUCUGUUAUCACUUCUGUUUUGACUCAGGAGUUUGUUGAGAGUGGUGUGCGAAUGGUGCUUCUGUGUUGUAUCCUCCUCUCCUUCUCUCUUCUUCCCUUCUUGAUUGGUGCCUCUGUAAGCUGUGAGAGAGGGACUUCAAUCUGAAUGGAGAAAUCUGUUUUCUUCAAGGAGUGAAGGAUUUGAUUUUUCUUUGUUGGCUUUUGCAGAGGUGAAAAACGUAGGAUGAAGAGAGAAGAGCUACUCAGGUUGCAGAAUGGAAAUUCAGAUUGCAUAGUGGAAAAUAAGAUUGCAGAGUCCAUCCCCAUGUUGAAGAGAGGUCUGUUACGCUUCCAUGGAAAUCAGUAGGGUAUAAUUUGAGAACUGCGCGGUCCAUCCUUUGGGCAGUGCAGAAUUUUGGUUUCCAUAAUAGACCGGAUCUUGCUCGUGCCGUGUUGAGAGCAUCAACUGAUGUUCUAUCGAAAGCUACUGACAAAUGCGUCCGAAUUAAUUCAAUUUCUUCUUUUCCGAACUGCAUCAUAUAUUCCCCUCUUCUCUUUUUGGGAGGCUUGGUUUCAUGUCCAAUUCUGAUAUAAUUGUUUCAAAGUCUAAGCAAACCGAAACCGUAACAUACAGCGAGCAUUGAAUAAUGAUGUGCUAGCUUCGAGCUUCAUGACUAUGCCAACAAUACGUUUUUCUUGGUUCGCCUCCAAGUCAGAUCCAACUAGUGAGGGCAUGUAUGUUGUCUAUUUUUCACAAUUCCAGGAUCCUGCUUAGAGCUUAAAAGUAUCGUUCCUCAUUAACCUGCAUGCUGGAACAUUUGUAGGACUGUUUGGUGCUUUUUCAUGGCCAUGAUGCUAAGUUGCCGACCGAUUUUGUUAUGACUGUAAUUAACUCCAACCGACAGAAUAGGCUUCUGCAUGAAAGAUGACGGUUGCUAAGCGGUAUUACUACCAUCCCCACAACCAGCAAUGGGUAGAGGGUAUAGGAUUAGGCUUGUGACGGAUUCGACGUGUACGACCGAAAGAUCCUAUAUCAUUACCUAAUACAGAACUUCUCUGUUUUAACACCCCUUGUUUAGUUCCAGAGAGUAUACCAUUACUGUAUGCUGAAAUGAAGAUGACGGCCCAUGUUUUUUUGUUUGCCAAUA